GGACAGCACAGUGAGAGGAAACCAAAACUAGUCAAGUUGUGACUCUACACAGUGCCAUUUCUGAUUGCUAUCUUUCAAAAACAUUUCUUUUUCCUGUGCCCUUCAGGAGAUUAUAAUAGCUUGCAGUUCAGUCUCUAAGGGCUUUGCUGAUUGAUCUUUCUCCUCAAACAAAAUAAGCAGUGAUUCCUGCAUUUCUGAAGAAGACCUCAAGAUCUGGACUUGUGGGGAAUUCCAGCAAGACAGACCUUGAGAGAUGGAGACAGAAUGCAAGAGAAUUCUUCUGCUGAAAGGGCUUCAGCCCCUCAACGACGACCAGUUUAGCAUGGUUAAGUCCCUGCUGGAUUCUGAUUUGGGGCUGACUCCAAAAAUGAAAGAAGACUAUAGCAAGGUCAAGAUUGCUGACAUGAUGCACAAGAAAUUCCAGGGGAUUCUCUGUGUGAACAAACUCCUGAGGCUGCUCAAAGACAUAGAAGGACUAGGAGACACUGUGAAAACUAUUCAAAAUGAGAAAAGAAAAGUUAUGAAGAAGUACAAAACACAGGGACUGGCUCCAGUGAAGAAAAGAAAGCAGGAGGCGUCCAGUACUGACGAAUCGACAUCCACCGCAAACAAGGCUUCACGGCCAGUGGAUGAUACACUUGUGUCGAAGAAAAGGAAAACUAAAACCACAAGCAAUGGUAAAUCUAACAAGACACAGCCAGCGCCGGAAUGGGGUCAGCUUGGACAACCUGCAGUCACAGGUGCCCUGUCACCUGCAAGCUUCUCUCAGCCUCCUCGGAUGCCUCCAUCAACCCCGGGCAGCAGUUUCUCAACCAAGGUACCGUCUUGCUCUUCCCCAUACUUGUUCCUCUCUCUACAACAUAGUACAGGAAUCAUCAGGACCUAUAAAGAGCUUCUAGGUAACUCCCUAAUAUGUACAAUUUCUUUAGAUAACAAUAAUCACUCAUUAGCUUAUCAAAUGCAGAUAGUGAAAUUUCAGUGUAGUAGAAACCCUUUGCUAU